CAGAGGGCAGCACAGGAUGCGAUCGCACGACCCUGCCCGUGAGCAAUCUCCCAACUCAUCUCUGUCUCUGCUUGUUAAGGAGAAUUCAAGUAUGAUUCAUGUUUGGGUAAUGAAAGUGAAGGCGGUACUAAAUUGAACCAGUGGCGCCAUCAUCGAGGUUAAAAUCGGGAGGGUAUCUGGGAAUGAUGACUUCUGUCGAAUUUGUUAUCGUUAACGCAGUUAUUAUUUCUCUUAACACUCAUUAAAUUUAUCAGAUCGUAUACAACGCAGAACUAGAUUACGCUCACUCCAAGUGCGUACAACCAUCUGAGUACCAGCUCCUCGACGAAGAACCUAACAUGAAACGUUGAACACACUCAUAGUAACACCUUUUAGAAACCAUGCUCCGGAUAAGGUUGUCACGAAAUUUACAUGGCAGUUUCUAUGAAUGUUCACUGCUGUGACGUGUUCGUGAUUCUCUGCCUGUCCGAAGCUCCGAUUGUGUCGCAGCAGAAAUCUAUCCUAAGAAACGAAUUAACUCAACAGAAUUCCUUGGAUCAAGUUGGAUCACGGUACACGGUUGAAGAGUUAAUUCUCCGUUCGCGUGUUAUCACGCAUCGCCUGUGUACUUCCAGCUUACAUUUACACCGAAAGGUGUGACGUUUAAUACCCGCCGUUCGAGGGUAAUUCGCCAGGCACGGAUGAUUUUUCGAAGUCAAGGACUGCGACCUCGCGGAAAUGGAAGAAAAAUAAAAAAGAAAAACGCCCCGAAUGUGCGAUCUUUAAUUUGUGGGUGAACCAAUUGACGGACCGUCUCGAUGGAAGCUGGCCCGAAGAUCUGCUCGAAGUUCUCAAGAGCCACCGCGAACACGAAAUCCGCCCACGUGGUCUGAAACAAAUUAGAUCAUUAAAUCCAAGGACAUUCAUUUUCGACCCUGAUGUAACCACCUGUCCGAUAAGCGAAAGUUCCUAUGAUUUUUCAUUUUUUAGACAAACUUAAGCUCGGGUCGCAAGGAAUGAGGGUCUCCAGGUAGGGGGCAAGAGCCGUGGGAGAAACCGCAGAGAUCUGAAAUUCUGAAUAUUCCGGUGAUGUUAAAGGACCGUGCUAGCCACUCUCUCGGUUUCCACGGAUCCCGGAUCCCUCAUCUCGGAAACUUGCCGCAAACCGGGAUUCUCACCAAGGGCCACCCUCGG